GCGCGGGUGGCGGAAUGGUAGACGCGCUACGUUGAGGUCGUAGUGCUCGCAAGGGCGUGGGGGUUCAAGUCCCCCUCCGCGCAC
rnacentral:tRNA from 1 species